AUUGAACGCUGGCGGCAUGCCUUACACAUGCAAGUCGAACGGUAACAGGUCUUCGGAUGCUGACGAGUGGCGAACGGGUGAGUAAUACAUCGGAACGUGCCUAGUAGUGGGGGAUAACUACUCGAAAGAGUGGCUAAUACCGCAUGAGAUCUACGGAUGACAGCAGGGGAUCGCAAGACCUUGCGCACUUAGAGCGGCCGAUGGCAGAUUAGGUAGGUGGUGGGAUAAAAGCUUACCAAGCCGACGAUCUGUAGCUGGUCUGAGAGGACGAUCAGCCACACUGGGACUGGGACACGGCCCAGACUCCUACGGGAGGCAGCAGUGGGGAAUUUUGGACAAUGGGCAAAAGCCUGAUCCAGCAAUGCCGCGUGCAGGAUGAAGGCCUUCGGGUUGUAAACUGCUUUUGUACGGAACGAAAAGCCCCGGGUUAAUACCCUGGGGUCAUGACGGUACCGUAAGAAUAAGCACCGGCUAACUACGUGCCAGCCGCCGCGGUAA
rnacentral:rRNA from 1 species